rnacentral:lncRNA from 1 species
AGCAGUUCAUUCAAAAACAGACUAUUUGUUUAUCUUUGUAAUAAACAUAAAUAAAAAAAUUAACAGAUAAAAAAGAACAAACAUAAAGGUAAAAAUAAAAAUGAAAAAGGCAAUAACACAAAAAGAAACGACCAAAAAAAAAUUAAAAAAUGGAUUAAACAAAAAAAAAAUAAAAAAAAAUGGGACUCAAUCCAAGGAAAAGUUAAACAGGAUUGAACAAAACUCGGAUAGUGGCUCGGAAAACGAAAAAUUUGUUAAUAUAUUUAUGAACAAAAUAAAGAACAUAACUUUAAAAAAUAAGGAACUUAAAAAUAAAAAAAAGACUAAUAAAAAAAAACAAACAAACGAGCUAAAGUUGAGGAGAAAAAAAUAUUCAGAGGGUGAUAAUGAUAGUGACAGAGAAAGUAAUAGUGAUAUAGAAAGUGAUGAUAAGUAUAGCGACUACGAUAACAAUGAACAACAAAAAACUAAAAAGAAUAAAAAAAAAAAGAUAAAUAAAUUUAAUGACGAAACAACAACAGACGAUAGUUCCAGCAGUCCUGGUAGCUCUGAUAAUGAGCUAGAAAAAAAGAAUGAAGAUGAAAAAUUGAAAAAUGCAGAAGAAAAUAGAAUUAUUAUGAGAAACAAAUUAAAAGAAAUAGAAUUAAAAAUAAAAAAUACAGAAGGUAAUAGUAGUAGUAGUAGUAAAGAAUGGUUAGAAAAAUUAGACAUUGUUAGCUCAGAAAAUUUUUAUUAUAAAAAAAUGCAGUUACUAGGGGAUUGUGACACAAGAGAAAAUUUUAUACAAGAUAUGGUGCAUGAUACUGUUAAAAAAGGACUGACAAAAUUACAAGAAUUACAUAUUAAUUUUAAUAGACCUUAUGACUUUCUAGGUACGAUGUUGAAAAAUGAUAUACAUAUGGAAAAACUUAGACAAAAAAUAUUAAAAGAACAUGAAAAUAUAGAAAAGAAAGAAAAAAAUAAAAUAAAAAAAAUGAAUAGAAAAAUAUUUAAAAACAGUGGAUCGAUGAAAGUAUUAAAACAAAAAGAAGCUGUAGAAAAAAAAAAAAAUCUUGAAAAGAUUAAUGAAUUAAAAAAAGAAAACAAUAAUUUUGAAAACUUAAAUAUUCAGGAGUUUUUUUUAAGCCACUCAAAAAAUGACUCUGACAUGGGUGGUCGUAGGGAGAGAUUUAAAAGAGGAGGGGGGAAAGGAAACUAUAAAAAGGAAGACAUAACAAAAAGCGAGGAUAGCAAAAAUGGAGAUAGCAAAAAUGGAGACUAUGGAAAAGGAAACUAUAAAGGGGACGGAAAAAAAUCCAAACAAAGCAAGUCCCAAAACAUUAAGCAUUUCAAUAAAAAAGGUAAGAAUAAAAACAUAAGUAAAGCA